GUGCUCACUUGGGCAGCACAUACACUAAAACUGGAACGAUACAGAGGAGAUUAGCACGGCCCCUGCACAGGGAUGCCACGCAAAUUCAUGAACCACAGUUUAUUUUU